AUUGAACGCUGGCGGCAGGCCUAACACAUGCAAGUCGAGCGGCUGCAGGAAACUUGCUCCUCGCUUCAGCGGCGGAGGGGUGCGUAAUGGCUAGGAGUCUGGCUGUUCGUGUGGGAUAACGUCAAGACAUGGGCACUCAUACCGCAUACGUCCUGAGGGAGAGAGGGAAGGAUCUUCGGAUCUAACGCGCUCAGUUGAUACUAGGUUGGAUUAGCUAGUUGGUAGGGUAAAGGCCUACCAAGGCGACGAUCCGUAGCUGGUCUGAGAGGAUGAUCAGCCACACUGGAACUGAGAUACGGACCAGACUCCUACGGGAGGCAGCAGUGGGGAAUAUUGGACAAUGGGGGAAAGCCUGAUCCAGCGAUGCCGCGUGUGUGAAGAAGGCCUGAGGGUUGUAAAGCACUUUAGUUGGUGAGGAAAGGGGAUGCGUUAAUAGCGCGUUGAAGUGACGUUAGCCAAAGAAUAAGCACCGGCAAACUCCGUG
rnacentral:rRNA from 1 species